rnacentral:rRNA from 1 species
UACGUAGGGUGCGAGCGUUAAUCGGAAUUAUUGGGCGUAAAGGGUGCGUAGGCGGUUUGGUAAGUCUGAUGUGAAAUCUAUGGGCUCAACUCAUAGUCUGCAUCGGAAACUGCCGGGCUUGAGUAUGGGAGAGGUGAGUGGAAUUCCUGGUGUAGCGGUGAAAUGCGUAGAUAUCAGGAGGAACACCUGUGGCGAAAGCGGCUCACUGGACCAUAACUGACGCUGAUGCACGAAAGCUAGGGGAGCAAACAGG